rnacentral:rRNA from 1 species
UACGGAGGGAGCUAGCGUUGUUCGGAAUUACUGGGCGUAAAGCGCACGUAGGCGGCUGUUCAAGUCAGAGGUGAAAGCCCGGAGCUCAACUCCGGAACUGCCUUUGAAACUAGACAGCUUGAAUCCAGGAGAGGUGAGUGGAAUUCCGAGUGUAGAGGUGAAAUUCGUAGAUAUUCGGAAGAACACCAGUGGCGAAGGCGGCUCACUGGACUGGUAUUGACGCUGAGGAGCGAAAGCGUGGGGAGCGAACAGG